rnacentral:rRNA from 1 species
CAGUCGCCGCGGGAAUACAGAGGGUGCGAGCGUUAAUCGGAUUUACUGGGCGUAAAGCGUGCGUAGGCGGCUUCUUAAGUCGGAUGUGAAAUCCCCGGGCUCAACCUGGGAACUGCAUCCAAAACUGGCAAGCUAGAGUACGGUAGAGGGUGGUGGAAUUUCCUGUGUAGCGGUGAAAUGCGUAGAUAUAGGAAGGAACACCAGUGGCGAAGGCGACCACCUGGACUGAUACUGACACUGAGGUGCGAAAGCGUGGGGAGCAAACAGGAUUAGAUACCCCCGUAGUCCCUGUCUCUUAUAC